rnacentral:misc_RNA from 1 species
UUUUAUUUUUCAAUAUUUGAGGAAUGUGUAAACUAAUGUGACCCAUGUGAAGGAAUAAAUAUGAGGAAUUCGAAAUAAUUGCAUGUUCUCUUCAUGAAUGUAUGAUAAACAACAUUUUCAUUCUUCAUCACAUAUUAGUUCUGUUGUUGUGAAUGUGAUAUAGAGCUAGUAAGAGGGUAGGACAUGCAAUUUUGGUCGUGGAACAAGCAUAUAAACUGACUGUCGAACCCCUCUCUCUCUCAGCUCCACCGUCAUCUUCUUUCCUUUUCAUCUUUGGUCUGCUGCCGACUCAGGUGUUUGUGAUUUUUAGGAAACUAGAUAUGGAUGCAACAAAGGAGGAUCAACUCAUUCGUCAACAAUCAUACCCAUGGCUUCUUAUUCAUGACAAGAAAAAUGGGAAAAUGGCAAUAUUUUUUAGCAUAUCAAGAAAUAGAUAUUACAGGAAAAUAAUUCCAGAAAUGGAAAAUAAAACAAUUUGCACUUGCUCUUAUGGAUGGCUAGUACUUCAAGAUAAUACUUCAAAAGGCUGUUGUCUUUUUAAUCCCAUCACAACACAGAAGGUUGAGCUUCCUCCAUCAGAGUACCGCUGCAACGACUGCUUCAUAUAUUCAUCACCAAGUGACUACUCUAAUUGCUAUGUUUUAUUCAUCUAUAGCAAGAACAACACCAUAUACUUUUGCCAACCUGGUGAUGACAAAUUUCUCAAACAAGAGCUCCAAAUCGAUUUAUAUUAUCUCACAAUGUUUGAAGGUAAAUUGUAUUAUUUACAAGACCCCAAUCUUUAGUUAUUAUUACUUUUUCUAAGAAUUCCGGACUUGAGGUUACACCAUUAACAAGUGAGGAGCUCCAAAUCAUCCAUACGUAAAUGUGUUAUGGGAGUAUUUGAUCGAGAACUCUGGUGAACUUUUAUUAGUACGUAAAUUGGUCAUUGGAUAUGAAGUGCAUGAUUUCGAGAUUUUUAGGUUUGAUUUUUCAGAGAAUAAGUGGGUGGAAGUUUCUGGUGCAGGGCAAUGGAAUUGGGAGUUGAACAAAAUUCCAUCUAUUUUAUCCAGCGCAGUGAGAGAUUUUUUCGUAUUUUCAACUCAAAAGAUAGGAGCUUUUCAAUGGCUUUUCCUCGUCCUACUAAUUGCUUUUUCACACUUUCAUUGGAUUAUGAUAUCAUAAACAAUAUAUUUUAUUUUAUCGACUUUUAUUUUUAAUAUAAUUUGUCAAAGCAAUAGCUUAUGAUAAUAUUGUUUAUGUGGAAUCAAUACCAAUUAAAGCAAUAGCUUAUAAUAAUAUUGUUUCAUAUUUUGGAUAUGUUAAUUUUAUUGCAUAUAUAUGUUGCAAUGGAAAGCAUAUAUCUAUGUUUAUGAAUGACCUGUGCAAGAGCUACAAAUUAUCAUAUUCUAAUUGUCAAUCACUCAACCAGAAACAAGUAUACAGAGAAAC